rnacentral:misc_RNA from 1 species
AGGGCGACGCUGGACCUCCUUACCGACGAUAUUUGAAUGGGCAGUGGCCCACCGAUUGGCUGAUGAAAAAGUAACCAGGAGAAAAACCUUUUUUGGGUUGGUGGUCAGGGGGGUUGAGCGCACCCCCGAUUAAGGGGAGGGUGGGGGGUCAAGUCCCCUCCAGGCUUCCCAAUUCCUCCGCAUGCUGCGUUAUGCUCGCGGUCGUUUGCCCCAGCAAACUUCCCAUUACUCCGCCUUGCCUGAAAAAGAAUUGACUCGCUCUUAAUCAAAGUCUCAGAAAGACUGAAUGGGGCUAUAGAUCAUCUGGGAGAGCGCCUGCCUUGCACGAACGACGGCCUCGGUUCGAUCCCGCUUAGCUCCCCCUUCUCCUUCCUGCCUCCAUAACACUCCAGAAUAUAUUGUCGACAGUAUGCUAUUGAGGAUUUUGCUCUUUAACAAUCUGGAACCUGCUGAAAAUUGAAAUGAUGAAAAAUUUGAAGAUUAUUCACGAGUCUCUAUUAUUCGCAAAGCCCAUGAUGGAAACAUCUUCAGGAUGGAAGGUUAAUCGACUAAGCAGGCACAGUGAAUGCCUUGGCAGGUGGAUGCCUUGGCA